AGUGAACGCUGGCGGUAGGCCUAACACAUGCAAGUCGAACGGCAGCACAGUAAGAGCUUGCUCUUACGGGUGGCGAGUGGCGGACGGGUGAGGAAUACAUCGGAAUCUACUUUUUCGUGGGGGAUAACGUAGGGAAACUUACGCUAAUACCGCAUACGACCUACGGGUGAAAGCAGGGGAUCUUCGGACCUUGCGCGAUUGAAUGAGCCGAUGUCGGAUUAGCUAGUUGGCGGGGUAAAGGCCCACCAAGGCGACGAUCCGUAGCUGGUCUGAGAGGAUGAUCAGCCACACCGGAACUGAGACACGGUCCAGGCUCCUACGGGAGGCAGCAGUGGGGAAUAUUGGACAAUGGGCGCAAGCCUGAUCCAGCCAUACCGCGUGGGUGAAGAAGGCCUUCGGGUUGUAAAGCCCUUUUGUUGGGAAAGAAAAGCAGCAGGUUAAUACCCCGCUGUUCUGACGGUACCCAAAGAAUAAGCACCGGCUAACUUCGUG
rnacentral:rRNA from 1 species